AGGGAAUAGGACCUCGGUUCUAUUUUGUUGGUUUUCGGAAUCUGAGGUAAUGAUCAAUGGGGACAGGCGGGGGCAUUCGUAUUGCGACGUUAGAGGUGAAAUUCUUGGAUCGUCGCAAGACGGACCGAAGCGAAAGCAUUUGCCAAGUAUGUUCUCGUCGAUCAAGAACGAAAGUUAGAGGUUCGAAGGCGAUCAGAUACCGCCCUAGUUCUAACCAUAAACUAUGCCUGCCAGCGAUCCGCCGAAGUUCCUCCGAUGACUCGGCGGGCAGCUUCCGGGAAACCAGAGCUUUUGGGUUCCGGGGGAAGUAUGGUUGCAAAGCUGAAACUUAAAGGAAUUGACGGAAGGGCACCACCAGGAGUGGAGCCUGCGGCUUAAUUUGACUCAACACGGGAAAACUCACCAGGCCCGGACACCGGAAGGAUUGACAGAUUGAGAGCUCUUUCUUGAUUCGGUGGGUGGUGGUGCAUGGCCGUUCUUAGUUGGUGGAGCGAUUUGUCUGGUUAAUUCCGAUAACGAACGAGACUCUAGCCUACUAACUAGGCGUACCCGGUAUCCACAAUCGUGCUACCGGCGAUCAAAUUUCUUCUUAGAGGGACAGGCGGCUUCUAGCCGCACGAGACUGAGCAAUAACAGGUCUGUGAUGCCCUUAGAUGUCCUGGGCCGCACGCGCGCUACACUGAAGGAAUCAGCGUGUCUUCCCUGUCCGAAAGGACCGGGUAAUCCGCUGAACCUCCUUUGUGCUAGGGAUUGGGGCUUGCAAUUGUUCCCCAUGAACGAGGAAUUCCCAGUAAGCGCGAGUCAUAAGCUCGCGUUGAUUACGCCCCCUGCCAAUCAUAAA
rnacentral:rRNA from 1 species